GACGAACGCUGGCGGCGUGCUUAACACAUGCAAGUCGAGCGAGAAAGCUCCUUCGGGAGUGAGUACAGCGGCGAACGGGUGAGUAACACGUGGGCAACCUGCCCUAGGGAGCGGGACAACCCGAGGAAACUCGGGCUAAUACCGCAUGAUUCGUCAUGUCUCAAGGCAUGACGGGAAAUGGUAGCUUCGGCCUCCGCCCUAGGAUGGGCCCGCGGCGCAUUAGCUUGUUGGGU
rnacentral:rRNA from 1 species